CCUACGGGAGGCUGCAGUGGGGAAUAUUGGGCAAUGGACGCAAGUCUGACCCAGCAACGCCGCGUGAAGGAAGAAGGCUUUCGGGUUGUAAACUUCUUUUAAGGGGGAAGAGCAGAAGACGGUACCCCUUGAAUAAGCCACGGCUAACUACGUGCCAGCAGCCGCGGUAAUACGUAGGUGGCAAGCGUUAUCCGGAAUGACUGGGCGUAAAGGGUGCGUAGGUGGUUUGGCAAGUUGGUAGCGUAAUCCCGGGGCUCAACCUCGGUGCUACUACCAAAACUGUUGAACUUGAGUGCAGGAGGGGUGAAUGGAAUUCCCAGUGUAGCGGUGGAAUGCGUAGAUAUUGGGAAGAACACCAGCGGCGAAGGCGAUUCACUGGACUGUAACUGACACUGAGGCACGAAAGCGUGGGGAGCAAACAGGAUUAGAUACCCCUGUAGUC
rnacentral:rRNA from 1 species